rnacentral:rRNA from 1 species
CGGGUGAGUAACACGUGGAUAACCUACCUAUAAGACUGGGAUAACUUCGGGAAACCGGAGCUAAUACCGGAUAAUAUUUUGAACCGCAUGGUUCAAAAGUGAAAGACGGUCUUGCUGUCACUUAUAUAUGGAUCCGCGCUGCAUUAGCUAGUUGGUAAGGUAACGGCUUACCAAGGCAACGAUGCAUAGCCGACCUGAGAGGGUGAUCGGCCACACUGGAACUGAGACACGGUCCAGACUCCUACGGGAGGCAGCAGCC